UGCCAGCUGCCGACUGCACUGGAGGAGGAACCCACCAAGGUAAAUGGACUGUCCUCUAACCACCAUACGAAGGACACACACCUCAGUCUGCUCCCCUCCCACCCGUAUGCCUCUGACACCUCCCAGUCACUGCCCCUUCACUGGAGCCCAAGUAUCAACUAAUCCUUCCUGGCAGACAUCUACCAUGUGCUACCUAUCCACUCUUCUACGAUGGGUGUCCCUGUGGGCCCCAGCCCAGCCACCAGGGUACAAUCCACUGCCGCCUCCUGGCUCGAGAUGAGCUUGGGUGAGGACGAGAGAGACGUUCCAGGAGGCAUUUGUGUGUGGUGUAGCGUUUUCUUCUUUGCAAUGGAUGGAUUGAAGAUGUUUCCGACCAUUAGCUUGCCAAAGAGAAGUCCCGUUUUGGCUCUGCUGUGGUGUUUCUCAUUCACUGACGUGGGCACAGACUGAGAACUGGAAGGUCUCCUGAAAAGCUGAAGGGGUGUGGAAAGUGACUGGGGACGCCUGCUGCCACGCUCAGGAGGGGACAGGGACGCAGCACACUGUGCUCCGAGGUCGACGUUCUUCUGGAUAUGAAUCGUCAUGAGAUCAUCUCAGAAAAGCAGUGGGAGGAAAGACAUGUUGAUUUUGACCCUUACUGUAGCAGUUAAACCACACUUUCCUGCCCAAUAACACUCAGUGCUUACAUACUUAAAUAUAUGGUUUUUUCCUCCUCCCGCCCCAUUUUUAAAACGAGCACAUCAGGAAGUGUUACAGUCUGUGAUGGAAAGAGCAAAAUGGGGAAGGUGACCUUUUGUUGAAAAUAGGAAAUUAAUUCUAAGAACUGCCAGCUUGAAACUUAGAUCCGGAUUCCCUCCACUAGGUAAUGACGUAAGGCGUUUCUCCGUAUUCAUAGCAGCUCAGGAGCGUUAGCUGCUUUGUAAGAAUCCCCCCAAAUUGGAAACCUUUGUUCCAAACAGAAAAUAUUUGGUACUUACCACCCACUUAA